AAGAGCAAAGAAAAGCUCAGAAGAGACACAGCCUCCACCCCACCCCAGUCCUGCAAGGCAUCCCUCUGGCUCCUGGAUGCCUCCUGGCCUCCUGCACCACCAGCCACAGCAUCACACAGAUGCUGGUCUGUUCUGCCCACAGCUCUUGGUGCAGGUCAGAUUCCUGAUCCUGGCUCCCUGCAUUUCAUUGUCAACCUAUGGCUGCACACACCACUGCAGAUGCUGAAGACACCGUCUUGGCCACAGGGAAGACUGUACUACUGAGACUACAAGACUGAGCCUGCCUUUUGAUUGGUCAAUGUUGCUUUUCCCUUGGUGGGAGAUGAACAAGAAAACAGACUGGGGACUCAAAACACACCAGGUGUUUAAUAGGUGGCUAAGUGAAUAGGCUUUCCAAAUUACAUGCCAACACAGCAGCUUGCCACAGCUUUCAGCCCACUGCUUGCACUAUGGUUUCUGGACUCAACAGAAAGGUCAAGGGAGUGCCAGCUGACUGUCACAUGGUCUGCAAGCCCCUGAUGGGAGGACCAAGUCAUCGACUCUAGCCUGCAUCUUAGCAUCUCCUGGGUUGAACUGACAAGCUGUUUCCAGCAUUCAGCCCCAGCAACUGUGAGUCCUGAAGCACUCCACUGUGCCCCUUGGCGAGCCUCUGCCUGCCCUCUUUAGCCUGACUCUGCUGUAGAUCAGAAAGGCAGGUUCAGGUCCUGGCCCUGGCACUGCCUUCCCAAGGGACUGGACUGGCUCCCUCCCCCAUGAGGAUAACUGCAGGGUGAUGGGGAGGUGAGUGCUUUGCCUCCUAGGAGGAAAGGCUACUAUGUGAUGCAAUGUCCACUCACUGUCAUUCCCAUAUUAGUACUGCACACAUCCCAGCACAGCAGCUUCAGAUACAUCCAGACACUUUCAGGGCUCCCCCCAGCCAGAUGGGAUGGCAUGGAACUGCUGGUGGCAACAGCAGAAGCACCUGUUGUGUGUGUGUGUGUGUUGCACAAGGACCCUUCUAGAGCUUGGCCCAUAUAUGUAUAGAAAACCACCUCUGAUGCUAUAUCUCCUAGUAAAUAGUGCUGUUUGUAAUAAUGUUUUACUCAGUGAUUACCAUAUGCAAGGUGUUAUACUAAACACUUGUCAUGACUUAUUAAUCCAGUGUUUCUCAAAGUGUGUCCCAAGGAACCCCAGCAGGAUCUCUGAGACCUUUUUCGUGUAUCUGUGAGGAGAGAACUAUUUUUAUAACAACUCUAACAUUUUCACUGUAAUGCUCUCACAAAUACACAGCAGAGUUUCCCAGAGCCUACAUGAUGUGAUACCAUAACACACUGAAUGACAGAGCAGAUAUGAGAACCCAGCUGUUUUCUAGUAAGUCAGACACUAAUCUAUACAAAUGUAAAGCAAUGUCACUCUUCUGUUUUUUUGUUUUACAAAAAAAUUAUUUUUCAGAAACAAUAUUGCUUAUGUUAACAUGCAAUCAGUUUUUUUUGUUUUUGUUUUUGUUUUUUUUUUUGAGACGGAGUCUCGCUCUGUCACCCAGGCUGGAGUGCAGUGGCACUAUCUCGGCUCACUGCAAGCUCCACCUCCCAGGUUCACGCCAUUCUCCUGCCUCAGCCUUCCGAG
rnacentral:lncRNA from 10 species